ensembl:lncRNA
UCUUCAGCCCGCCUAGCCAAAGACGCUACCUUUUCGAUCGAUCUGAUGAAGAGGAAGAGGAAGAAGAAAAAGAAGAAGGCGGGGCGUCCUUACACUAUCCUAGAUACAGAUAUAACACCAAUGUGAAAGGUCGAGAUGGCGAGGACAAGCCUUACGAGACUGCAUCAUAGCCUUAUGAGACUGUGACAGCUGUGACAUUUUGUCUUGCAUGCAGAGAUCAGCACAUUUGUGGUCAUACGGACACAACCACACACCCAAACACUCCUACCCCUGCAGGAGAACACAAACACUUAAAAUCAAUGCUUCCUGUGGCAGACACUCACAGGACAUAAUCGAACAGAUACUAUGGUCUGUUUUUGACCGUGCACUUAUCAGUCUGACCUCACUGCACAAACAGCAGCUCCAUUAUUUACGGCUCGACUGUGCUCAUUGCAUGCAAGCAGCCGUUGCUUGGCUUGAACAGCCAUCUGGUAUAAAACUCAUCAUGGCUGCAACUGAGCCAAAGAACUUGAGCUUGCAAUAAUAAUGGAUCCUUUUUCUCUUUGUCUCUCUUCUGGAUUUACAUGUAAUAUACCACAGUAAUAUAUAUUGCCAUACUACAGUGUAUUGCCAAAAAAGCCUUUGUUCCAAGUAUGUGAGCACACUGCUUUUCUUAUUACCAGUCUUUUUCCUUCCUUCCUUCCUUCCUUCCCGUUUGGGAGAAGUGCCAUUUGAUUUAAGUGGGCUCCUCUACAGCUGGCUUCUCUGCAGCUGGGGUGCUUCAUGAACUGCUGCAUGGUACACUUAAGACGCUUUCAUUAUCAUCUGCUCGCUUUUUGUUUGCCUGAAUUCUCUUUUCUCUGCCUUUUACUGGCAAAUUAGUUCUUCCUUCCAGGAGAGCUAUAUCACUUAACUGCUCCACUAUGAAACCCAAACAUUUUUCUCACUUUUAAUCUUUUGUUUCUAAUGUACGACAGAUGUGUUUUUCAGAGGAUUACUGUCAAGCACAUUCAUUUACUUUAAUCUUACUUCUGUAAUAUGGUUUGAGCUAUUUUCAUUUGAUUUGACAAAGCGUUUCCCAGGCUCUGUUAGUGAGGAAGACUCUAUGGCUUUGUCCUGUGUGUCAUGCUUACAUGCGCUCUUGUUUCCUUUAGUUUUGAGGUUGAUGUCCUUUCCUUCUUUAAAGGGAAUAGACUUUGGACAACAGUCAUUUGUUGGGUUCUUAUAAAAACUACUAAAAACUGAUCCUCAGCCAGCAUAUGAAAAAAGAAAAAAUUUAGUGUUAUGCUUUUUCUUAUCACCAAAUUACAUGGAAAGAUCAAAACUGACAAUGGUUUUGGAACAAAAUAUAAAGUGCAAAGGUUUGCACGUGCAGCAGUGACCUGAGGGUGGUAUUGAGGUUCCUCCCAACAGGUCCUUGAUACUAAGCUAAGAAUGAAACUAGUUAAUAUGUAGCUGCAGUUAUAAUCCACAAUAGUCUAAGGCAGUUAAGAUUUCAAUGGCUUGUUCAGUUAAAUAAUAUAAAACUGUAUUUAUACAGCGCCAAUUCACAACAAUAGUCGCCUCAAGGCGCAUCAUAUUGUAAGGUAAAGAUCUUCUAAUAAUACAGCGAAACCCAACAAUCAUAUGACCCCCUAUGAGCGAACACUUAGGUGACAGUGGGAAGGAAAAGAUCACUUUUAACAGGAAGCAACCUCUGGCAGAACCAGGCUCAGGGAGGGGCGGGGCCAUCUGACUGGUUGUGGGCGAGCCCACAUUUUGUCUGGUCAGCAGGGAGGACCUUUAUGUUACCCACAGUCACAGCUGCUACUUCAUUUUUGUACAGUGAGGAAAGCAGUGACACAUUAUACCAGUCAUUAUAGACAGUCUGUUUGAUGCCAUCAAAGCUCUUAAACUUCCUACUGAAAACAGAAAUCGCAAAAACAAAAAAAAAACGCUUUAAAAUAUAUAGUUUUCCUUUUAGAGCUAAUUUUGUUCUUUUAGCCACCUCCUGAAAGGUCAACUGUGUGACAUUUGCUUCUAUCCAAAGGCUAGUUGAUAUCUUUAAUUUUUUCUGAUGUAGGUGUGGUUCUCCUGUGUAACAUGAAGCUGAUCAUAAACACGCAAGAAGCUUUGUUUCACAAACUGCAGUAAAACUCUGGGAUAUGCAUUCUGAAUGCACAGUACUAAUACUUCUAAAAUGGACUAUUUGCUUAGUAGACAUCUCUUCAUUGAUUGAGAGAGAUCCAUUUCAAUAAGGCUAGUGCUAAGUUAAAAUAUCUAAAUGGAUUUUACUUCUAUCAAAUUAGGAAUAUUGUAUCAUUCAGACAAAUAGCGAAUUACCCGCGUAAACAUAAACAUACUUGGCGAUUUCACACAUGGACCAGAUGUUUCAGUUUCCACAGAAGUAAAUGAAUCUUAAUUAGGAAGUCUUUCAGUGAGUUUUAAUAAUGAGAGUGUAAAACAUCACCAAGGUUCAUUUAACUGUAAUGUCUUUAACUGGAUACAUUAUAGCCUGUAUAACCAAUACUGUGAAAUCAUGUUCAGUGUCAUUCAAGCCUGUUCUGUUUUCAGUUUGUUGUUGCCUGAACAGCAAAAGAAAAAAAGAGAACAACCUGCAUUUUAUUUUUCUGACUGAAGUGUUACAUCACACACUUUGGUCAUUUGUCUGGUAUUUACCGAGUGGCAUUAGAAAUGUUUGGAACCAGUUUAAACUCCAGAAAAGUUUUACUUUACAGGGGCUGAAAGAAUCAGUCGGUGUUCUUUGUGGGGGGAUUUAGGUGUGAUUCUACUACACAUACUGUGCUUUUUAAGAAAUGUUUUAUUUUUCUUCUCUAUGCAGUCUGCACGAGUGUGGAAAUGUGUUUUUUGACCUGAUUGACCUGAUAACAUGUUUUGUUUGAAGACACACACACACAAUAAAAGAAAGUAAAAAAGGUUGACCCAGUACUGACUGCACACACACAAACACAGUAUUUAUAUAUGAAUAUGUUUAUGAUUCAUGCUAGCUUUGAAAAUAUUUUCAUUACUAUACAAAUUGACCACUUGUUACAAAUUUUGCAUUACUUUUUAAUAUAUUGUAAAUAAAUGAUGGUGAUUGUUUUGGAAUGGCUUCUAGAAUGGCUGACUUGAAGUGUUUUGCUGCUGUGGGAGUAUCUGAUGCACCUACUUUUGUAUCUUCAUGUGCUGUGAGAUAGCAGUAUGGAUGUUAUGGGUGGCUGCUUUUAAUAUUUAUUUCACUGUGUGUAAUUUAAGGGAAAAUCAGCCCGUUUCUUCUGCUGCUUCUUUUGGCUGCUCCCUUUAUGGUUCGCUACAGUGGAACAUCUGCCUCCAUCUUACUGUAUCCCUAGCAUCCUCCUGGCCAGUCCCAAUGAAAAUCUUAACAUCUCAACUUCUAGUUUGACCUAUAUUUUGGUAGUUCCGCUGUCUCCAUUUGUCUAUACAUCAUAGCAAGUCUCACUACCAUCAUGUAAACCUUCCUUGUCACUCUUACUGCUAUCCUUCUGUUACAAAUCAACACAGAAACUUGUCAUACUCACUUCACCGUGCCUGCACUCUCUUCUUGACCUCUCUUUUGGACUCUGUUGCUUUGGAUGAUUGACCCCAGGUAUUUUAACUCAUCUAUUUUAUACCAUCUCUCUCUCAUUCACACAUGUAUUAUGCCUUGCCUCUAUGGAUUUUGGCCAGUCAGAGACUGACUGGCCAUUCAGAUGGGUGACAAAUAAAAGAAAAAA